rnacentral:rRNA from 1 species
AACGAACGCUGGCGGCGCGCCUAACACAUGCAAGUCGAACGCACCCUUUUGGGUGAGUGGCGGACGGGUGAGUAGCGCGUGGGAACCUGCCCCGAGCACCGGGACAACCGCGGGAAACUG